GACGAACGCUGGCGGCGUGGAUUAGGCAUGCAAGUCGAACGGUAUCAUCCUUUCGGGGGUGAGAGAGUGGCGAACUGGUGAGUAACACGUAGGUUAUCUACCCUCAAGACGGGGACAACCCAGGGAAACUUGGGCUAAUACCGGAUGUGAGCAACUUUUAGUUGUUUGAAAGGUGGCGUAAGCUGUCGCUUGGGGAUGAGCCUGCGUCCUAUUAGUUAGUUGGUGAGGUAACGGCUCACCUAGGCAAUGAUAGGUAGGCGGCCUUAACGGGUGGUCGCCCACACUGGGAUUGAGAUACGGCCCAGACUCCUACGGGAGGCAGCAGUCGAGAAUAGUCUACAAUGGUCGGAAGACUGAUAGUGCGACGCCGCGUGAACGAUGAAUCCCUUCGGGGUUAAAGUUCUUUUAUAUGUGAGCAGUGCUUCUUAUAUUAACAGUAUGGGGAAGAGAUAUUAGCAUAUGAAUAAGCAACGGCUAACUCCGUGCCAGCAGCCGACGGUAAAUA
rnacentral:rRNA from 1 species